rnacentral:rRNA from 1 species
UACAGAGGGGGCAAGCGUUAUUCGGAAUUAUUGGGCGUAAAGGGCGCGUAGGCGGCCUGGCAAGUGGAAGGUGAAAUCCCUCGGCUUAACCGAGGAACUGCCCUCCAAACUGCUUGGCUUGAGUCCGGGAGAGGUGAGUGGAAUUCCCAGUGUAGCGGUGAAAUGCGUAGAUAUUGGGAGGAACACCAGUGGCGAAGGCGGCUCACUGGCCCGAUACUGACGCUGAGGUGCGAAAGCGUGGGGAGCAAACAGG